rnacentral:lncRNA from 1 species
GGAGUCGGCUCCUUUUUGUAAAGCAGUCACCUCAGAAUAUCAGGUCUCUGGUGUAAAGCCUGGGUCUCUCCUCUCUGGUUUAUUGUCCUUGUUUAUACUGUCAUGACCCUGAAGUUGAAACUGUGUAGGUUUUACUCUGGCCAGGAGUGUUACUGCAGUUUAGCUCUACUGUUCUGCUCCUAUUUCUCUCUACCACUUCUCCCUGAAGUGUGCACUCGUUCACUACCACUUCUCCCUGAAGUGUGCACUCGUUCACUACCACUUCUCCCUGAAGUGUGCACUCGUUCACUACCACUUCUCCCUGAAGUGUGCACGCUUUGUGAGAGAGAUACAGGUGACGUAAAUGGACACAAACUACUUGGCCAUUUCUUGACGAGCUCAAGUGUGACAUGUUUUUGUCGUUGCAGGUAUGGGCGCUUGGCGCUGGCCAGACUGGAUGAGGAAGUGAGGCUGAGAGAGAGGUCUGCAGAGAGACAACGGCUACCUGGGACUGCGGCAGGAGAGGACCUUUGGGCAGAGGAGAGAGGUCUGCAGAGAGACAACGGCUACUUGGGACUGCGGCAGGAGAGGACCUUUGGGCAGGUUCCUGCAGCGUGUGUCAGGGUGGAGUUACCUGACCCAUGGAGAAUUACUUCCAGACAGAGGCCUUCAACCUGGACAAGGUGCUGGAUGACUUUGAACAGAACCAAGGUGAGACCAAUUAACCAAUUAGCCAAUUGUCAAUGAAGCAAUCAGAUGUACUGUUGCUGGGCUGAGAGCCGAUUCUCCUCUUCUCUCCAGAGUUUUAUAGGACGUAUUAUGUGGUUAUUAAAGGAGGGUAAUUGUGGAGAGGGAAUGCAGAGAAUAGGAUCAGCCUCUCCCUCAGGGUUCUGGGUAAUUGGUGUCAUAUAUAUUUGGGUUGAGGUGUGUGCGAGCACUUGUCUGUGUUCCAAGUGUGUGAAGUUCACAUCGUUGUUCAUUUUUAAAGGGUGUUGAAUCUGGAGUCCUUAGCGGUGGAACUGCCACAUCCGUUUCCCAUCAGAAUCAAACUUUAUUUGUCACAUGCGCCCAAAUACAACCUUACAGUGAUAUACUUACUUACAAGCCCUUAACCAAGAGAGUUAAGAACAUAUUGACCUAAUAAACUAAAGUAACACAAUAACAACGCUAUAUAUACAGGGGGUGCCAAGUCAAUGUGCGGGGAUAGAGGUUAGUUGAGGUAAUUUGUACAUGUAGCUAGGGGUAAAGUGACUGCAUAGAUAAUCAACAGCGAACAGCAGCAGUGUUUAAACAGGGGUGAGGGGGCAGCAGCAUCAAUGUAAAUAGUCCACGUGGCCAUUUGAUUAAGUGUUGAGCGGUUUUAUGGCUUGGGGAUGGUAGCUGUUAAGGAGCCUUUUGGACCUAGACUUGACGCUCCGGUACCGUUUGCCUUAGCGGUAGCAGAGAGAACAGUUUGGUUUGGGUGACUGGAGUCUGACAUCGCCUAGUAUAUAGG